rfam:Ictidomys tridecemlineatus contig046456, whole genome shotgun sequence.
UGGGGUGUAGCUCCGUGGUACAGUGCUUGCCUAGCAUGCAUGAGGCCCUGGGUUCAAUCCCCAGCACUUCUC